rnacentral:rRNA from 1 species
CAGUAGCCACGGGAAUACAGAGGGUGCAAGCGUUAAUUGGAAUUACUGGGCGUAAAGCGCGCGUAGGUGGUUUGUUAAGUUGGAUGUGAAAUCCCCGGGCUCAACCUGGGAACUGCAUCCAAAACUGGCAAGCUAGAGUAUGGUAGAGGGUGGUGGAAUUUCCUGUGUAGCGGUGAAAUGCGUAGAUAUAGGAAGGAACACCAGUGGCGAAGGCGACCACCUGGACUGAUACUGACACUGAGGUGCGAAAGCGUGGGGAGCAAACAGGAUUAGAUACCCCUGUAGUCCCUGUCUCUUAUAA